UCAGCAACGUGAGGCUCCUUGUAGCAGUGUCUUAAGCAUUCAGCAACGUGAGGAUCCUUGUAGCGGUGUCUUUUGUGACAAUGGAGAUAUCCUGCAGCACAUAAUGAAAAUUGCCAUCUGCAAGAGGGAUUAUCAGGAGGAUUUCAGCAUCAUCUUGGAGGGGGUGCAAGUCAUGGCUGGCUUGGAAAAUCUGGCAAGAGCCUGUGCUGUUCUUCUUGGACUCACAUAUGCACUUAACCUCACCUACCCGAAAGAACUUAGGCACACUUUUGAGGCCUUUCAGAAGCUCUUCUUGGAACUGGAUGUUUGCAAGUUUUCACCAAAAAUACUAACACUUAAAAACAAACUCAUGACUUAGAUUGAGACAAUGCAUUAUUACCAAGUUCUGGUGAAAAGUAAACUGCAUUGAUUGAUGAACGUUUAAUAUUGUUCUACAUACAAGCUUUCAGAAAGUACAAAUGUUUUACAAAGUCUUGCUACAAGUUAUUCUCAAGUUUUAGUCCAUAAUGUGACUUUUCUAACAGAAAAAUGUUGCAUACAAAUUUGUAUGCACAAGUUGUUUUACAAAAUGAUCUUUCUCAUGGAAAAUGUUGGCAUUUUUUAAUUUUAUUUUCAUAUCUUAAAACUGCUGACUUACAUUUUAUACAGAUUUGUUUUAUUUGUGCAAAAAAAAGAAAGAUUAAAAGCAUGUUUGAUAACAAAAA